rnacentral:rRNA from 1 species
CCUACGGGAGGCAGCAGUGAGGAAUAUUGGUCAAUGGACGAGAGUCUGAACCAGCCAAGUAGCGUGAAGGAUGACUGCCCUAUGGGUUGUAAACUUCUUUUAUAUGGGAAUAAAAUGUUCCACGUGUGGGAUUUUGUAUGUACCAUAUGAAUAAGGAUCGGCUAACUCCGUGCCAGCAGCCGCGGUAAUACGGAGGAUCCGAGCGUUAUCUGGAUUUAUUGGGUUUAAAGGGAGCGUAGGUGGAUUGUUAAGUCAGUUGUGAAAGUUUGCGGCUCAACCGUAAAAUUGCAGUUGAAACUGGCAGUCUUGAGUACAGUAGAGGUGGGCGGAAUUCGUGGUGUAGCGGUGAAAUGCUUAGAUAUCACGAAGAACUCCGAUUGCGAAGGCAGCUUACUGGACUGCAACUGACACUGAGGCUCGAAAGUGUGGGUAUCAAACAGGAUUAGAUACCCCAGUAGUC